GAACCCUUGGCACAGUGGUAGCGCGUGAGAUUCCAGUACGGACAUCCUCAAGGUCGUCCGUUCGAUCCGGGCAGGGUUCA
rfam:Trametes pubescens strain FBCC735 TRAPTBscaffold_305, whole genome shotgun sequence.